GAGGGUAUAGCUCAACUGGUAGAGUGCAUGCUUAGCAUGCAUGAGGUCUUGGGUUCAAUCCCCAGUACCUCCU
rnacentral:tRNA from 1 species